GCGCAAGACAAGGGCCAUGAGCUCAGGAGUCCUGCACACCUAGAUCUGAACACAGCUCUUCCAUGCACCUGUGGCGCAUCACUUCCUCUCUGAGCCUCAGAGUCAAAUCCAGACCACCUGACUACUAUUUCCUUUGCACUAUGUCUGCUACCUCAGCAGGCUAUUGUGAGAACCUCACAGAGAAAUGCAAUUAAAAGCAAGUUUUCAACUAUGGAGCUAUACUGUUUUAAUACUGUUAAGUCAUUAGAUUAGAGGAAGAACUAGAACCUAAGUUAGGAUUUUAAGGGUGAUAAAUAUUACUUUUUCUUAUAAGGCUAGCAGUAUUUCCUGUACUUCAAAAAUUCUCAAUUUAAAAUCAGAAAAAAUAAAAUAAUGGGAAAAUGGGCAAGGAACCUGACCUGAAUAGGUAUUUCUCCCAAGAUAUAUGAAUGGCCAAUAUGCACAUAAAAAGAUGCUCAUCAUUAGCCAUCAGAGGAACGUAAAUUAGAACCACAAUGGGGCAUCAUUUUAUAAUUCAUACAUGAGGAUGACUAUAAUAAAAAAGACAAAUAGCAGCAAGUGUUGGCAAGGGUGUGGAGAAACUGAAACUCUCAUAGACUGCUGAUGAAAAUGUAACAUACGCAGUUCCUGUGGAAAAAGAGUCUGGCACCUGCUCAGAAGGUUAAACGGUUACUGUGUGACCCAGCAAUUUCACUCUGAGGUAUAUACCCUUAAGAAUUGAAAAUAUAUGUAAAACUUGUACACAAAUGUUCACAGCAGCAUUAUUCAUAAUAGCCCAAAAGUGUAAAUAAUGCAAAUAUCCAUCAAUUGAUAAAUGGAUAAACAAAAUGUGAUAUAUUUCACACAAUGAAAUGGCCAUAAAAAGAAAUGUAGUACUGACACAUUCUACAACAUGGAUGAACCUUGAAAAUAUGCUAAGUGAAAGAACUCACAAAAGACUACAUAUUAUAUAAUUUCAUUUAUAUAAAAUGUCCAGAAUAGGCAAAUCCAUAAAAGGCAGAAAGUAGGUAAGUGGUCACCCAGGGAUGGAGUGACGGUGGUUUCAGUUCAGGGUUUCUUUUAUGAUCAAUGAAAAUGUUCUCAAAUUGAUUGUGGUAAUGGGUUGCCCAACUCUGUGAAUAUACUAAAACCAUUAAAACAGUAUCUUCAAAUGGGUGAGUUUACGUCAUGUAAAUAUCUCAAUGAAGCCCCCCCUUUUCAAUGAAGGCCCCAUUUUUUAAUCUUCUAAUUUCACCAUAAACUGCAUCUGCAAUACUAGGCACUUAUUAAAGUUUACUUUAAACCAACUGGAUUUUUCUUAUCACUGCCUAAUAGUUGUUAGAAUUCUACAAAUUCUGUAGCGUUUGUAUUGUAAUUUGUUAAUAUCCUUCAAAGAGAUGACUUUAAAUUACUUUUAAUUUAUGUGCUUAAACAUGGAAUACUCACAGAUAUAAUG
rnacentral:lncRNA from 1 species